rnacentral:rRNA from 1 species
GAUGAACGCUGGCGGCGUGCCUAAUACAUGCAAGCCGAGCGAAUGGAUUAAGAGCUUGCUCUUAUGAAGUUAGCGGCGGACGGGUGAGUAACACGUGGGUAACCUGCCCAUAAGACUGGGAUAACUCCGGGAAACCGGGGCUAAUACCGGAUAACAUUUUGAACCGCAUGGUUCGAAAUUGAAAGGCGGCUUCGGCUGUCACUUAUGGAUGGACCCGCGUCGCAUUAGCUAGUUGGUGAGGUAACGGCUCACCAAGGCAACGAUGCGUAGCCGACCUGAGAGGGGGAUCGGCCACGCUGGGACUGAGACACGGCCCAGACGCCUACGGGGGGCAGCAGUAGGGAAUCUUCCGCAAUGGACGAAAGUCUGACGGAGCAACGCCGCGUGAGUGAUGAAGGCUUUCGGGUCGUAAAACUCUGUUGUUAGGGAAGAACAAGUGCUAGUUGAAUAAGCUGGCACCUUGACGGUACCUAACCAGAAAGCCACGGCUAACUACGUGCCAGCAGCCGCAGUAA